AAGAAUUCCAUUUGAACAUGUGCAGACUUGAGGCAUCUAGGGAUAUCUCUGUGGGAAUGUUGAUACUCAGAAGGAGUUUAGUGUAAAGAUAGGAUCAUAUGUAUCACACUACAUUAUACUAGUUGGUUUCAAGUCUGUGUAACCCUGAAUAUGAUGAAUCUGAAGGUAGACUGUCUUGGUGUCCCUAGCACAUUUGUUGGCAUGAAUGAGAUAUCCCAUGAAUCUGUACUGGGUUGAGUUAGACGUUUACCCACAGUGGGCCAGAUGCCUUUACAAGGUUAUAUUAUAGUAUAGAGAGGCAAGUCAUAAGUAUGUGGGAGGCACCUCAAGAAAGAGGAGACGUCUGGGAGAUGCCGGUGGAGCCAGGGUAGGUGGAGAGGACCCAGGAAGGAAAACAACCCGAACAUUCAAGAGGGGUGGAGGAAGGCAGGGAGACCAAGAGCAGCAUA
ensembl:lncRNA novel transcript